CCUACGGGAGGCAGCAGUGGGGAAUAUUGCACAAUGGGGGAAACCCUGAUGCAGCGACGCCGCGUGAGUGAAGAAGUAUUUCGGUAUGUAAAGCUCUAUCAGCAGGGAAGAAAUAGCGACCUUUGGGUCGCCAGACGGUACCUGAUUAAGAAGCCCCGGCUAACUACGUGCCAGCAGCCGCGGUAAUACGUAGGAUGCGAGCGUUAUCCGGAUUUAUGGGGUUUAAAGGGUGCGUAGGCGGGCAUUUAAGCCGGCGGUCAAAUGUCGGGGCUCAACCCCGGCCGGCCGUCGGAACUGGGUGCCUUGAGUGGGCGAGAAGUAUGCGGAAUGCGUGGUGUAGCGGUGAAAUGCAUAGAUAUCACGCAGAACCCCGAUUGCGAAGGCAGCAUACCGGCGCCCUACUGACGCUGAGGCACGAAAGUGCGGGUAUCGAACAGGAUUAGAUACCCUUGUAGUC
rnacentral:rRNA from 1 species